GUGAAUCAUCGAAUCUUUGAACGCAUAUUGCACUCUCUGCUAUUCCGGAGAGUAUGCCUGUUUGAGGGUCAGCCUAAAAAAAAUCGACGUAGUCGCUGUUUCGCGGUGAUAUCCGUCGGAAAUUAGGCCAUCUUAAACCUUUGGGUUAUUUAGGCGGCUUAAAAUUUUCUUUACGAUUGCACUAUCUUUUCUAUUAUUUACUUCUUACUUUUAAGUUUG
rnacentral:misc_RNA from 1 species